rnacentral:lncRNA from 1 species
CUUGGAAAUUAGGACAGUUGUGGUCAGUUCUAUGCUCUGCAAGACUUUUUUUUCUGGCAGCACUUUGUAAAAUAAGAGUAGUAGUACUCCCCUUCCAUGCUCGGUGUGAUGGCACUUGGAAGAAGAGAAACCACUGUGGAUAUCAACCAUUUGUUCCAUGGCUGCUCCUGUGACUCUUGGGGUGCCAGUGAUUGUAGCAGACCACCUCUAGAUCCAGAUUUCCUCCCCAUCUACUGAUAAGAGGGACGUUCAUACAAGAACUCUAACUUGUGCCAUUAUUGACUGCACCAUUAGGAGACAUCUGAAGUCUGGAAAGCAGGUCAUUGAGUGCACAUCACUUGGUAAGGCUCUUGACAAGGCAGAUAUGACAUUCAGAUAAUGUCUGUCUAGAAGAAAAUAG